AUGAACGCUGGCGGCGUGCCUAAUACAUGCAAGUCGAGCGCACGGACGAGAAGCUUGCUUCUCUGAUGUUAGCGGCGGACGGGUGAGUAACACGUGGAUAACCUACCUAUAAGACUGGGAUAAUUUCGGGAAACCGGAGCUAAUACCGGAUAAUAUUUUGAACCGCAUGGUUCAAAAGUGAAAGACGGUCUUGCUGUCACUUAUAGAUGGAUCCGCGCUGCAUUAGCUAGUUGGUAAGGUAACGGCUUACCAAGGCAACGAUGCAUAGCCGACCUGAGAGGGUGAUCGGCCACACUGGAACUGAGACACGGUCCAGACUCCUACGGGAGGCAGCAGUAGGGAAUCUUCCGCAAUGGGCGAAAGCCUGACGGAGCAACGCCGCGUGAGUGAUGAAGGUCUUCGGAUCGUAAAACUCUGUUAUUAGGGAAGAACAUAUGUGUAAGUAACUGUGCACAUCUUGACGGUACCUAAUCAGAAAGCCACGGCUAACUACGUG
rnacentral:rRNA from 1 species